UACGGGAGGCAGCAGUGGGGAAUAUUGCACAAUGGGCGACAACGCCUGAUGCAGCCAUCGCCGCGUGUAUAGAAGAACGGUCCGUUCGGGUUAGUAAAGUUACUUUCAGGUCGGUAAACGAAACGGAAGGUAGUUUUAAGGUUUAAUUAACCUUAGUCCAAAAUUAGACGUUACGCGAACACGUAAGAACGCACCGGCUAACCUCCGGUAGCCGAGGUCAGCCGCGGUUAAUACGGAGGGUAGUCGAGCGUUAAAUCGGAAUUACUGGGCGUUUUAAAGGGCACGCAGGCGGUUAAAUUAACGUUGGGAUACGUGAAAUCCCCGGGCUAACCUUGGGAAUGGACAUUCAAGACUGGUUAGCGUAGAGUACUUGUAGAGGGGGUAGAAGUUCCAAUGUGUAGCGUGAAAUGCGUAGACGAUGUGAAGGAUACCGGUGCGAAAGCGCCCCUGGACAAAGACGUGACGACUCA
rnacentral:rRNA from 1 species